UACGGAGGGUGCAAGCGUUGCUCGGAAUUAUUGGGCGUAAAGGGUAGGUAGGUGGUCUCGUUUGUCUAAGGUGAAAUCCCAGGGCUUAACUCUGGAAGUGCCUCAGAAACGGCGAGACUGGAGUCCUGGAGAGGGUUGCGGAAUUCCCGGUGUAGCGGUGAAAUGCGUAGAUAUUGGGAGGAACACCAGUGGCGAAGGCGGCUCACUGGACCGGAACUGACGCUGAGGCGCGAAAGCGUGGGGAGCAAACAGG
rnacentral:rRNA from 1 species